GGCGAAGUGGCCGAGUGGUUAAGGCGUCAGUUUUAGGCACUGAUAUCUUCGGAUGCGUGGGUUCAAACCCCACCUUCGUCA
rfam:Strongyloides ratti strain ED321 Heterogonic genome assembly, chromosome: X